rnacentral:rRNA from 1 species
UACGGAGGGGGCUAGCGUUGUUCGGAAUUACUGGGCGUAAAGCGUACGUAGGCGGCUUUGUAAGUUAGAGGUGAAAGCCCGGGGCUCAACUCCGGAACUGCAUUCGAAACUGCCUCGCUAGAGUCCCGGAGAGGAAGGCGGAAUUCCCGGUGUAGAGGUGAAAUUCGUAGAUAUCGGGAGGAACACCAGCGGCGAAGGCGGCCUUCUGGACGGUGACUGACGCUGAGACGCGAAAGCGUGGGGAGCAAACAGG